rnacentral:rRNA from 1 species
CCUACGGGCGGCUGCAGUGAGGAAUAUUGCACAAUGGGCGAAAGCCUGAUGCAGCAACGCCGCGUGAGCGAAGAAGGCCUUUGGGUCGUAAAGCUCUGUCCUUGGGGAAGAAAAAAAUGACGGUACCCUUGGAGGAAGCCCCGGCUAACUACGUGCCAGCAGCCGCGGUAAUACGUAGGGGGCGAGCGUUAUCCGGAAUUAUUGGGCGUAAAGAGUGCGUAGGUGGUCUUGUAAGCGUGGGGUGAAAGGCAGUGGCUUAACCAUUGUUAGCCUUGCGAACUGUGAGACUUGAGUGCAGGAGAGGAAAGUGGAAUUCCUAGUGUAGCGGUGAAAUGCGUAGAUAUUAGGAGGAACAUCAGUGGCGAAGGCGACUUUCUGGACUGUAACUGACACUGAGGCACGAAAGCGUGGGGAGCAAACAGGCUUAGAUACCCCAGUAGUC